GUACACGCUGUGACUAGCAUAUCAAUAAGCGGAGGAAAAGAAACUAACAAGGAUUCCCUCAGUAACGGCGAGUGAAGCGGGAAGAGCUCAAAUUUGAAAUCUUGAAAGGUCACCUUUCACGAAUUGUAGUUUAAAGAAGUGUUUUCUGUUACGAUCGUAAUAUAAGUUCUUUGGAAUAGGACAUCACAGAGGGUGAGAAUCCCGUCUAUGAUUGCGAUUUGUAGCUUUGUGAUACACUUUCAAAGAGUCGGGUUGUUUGGGAAUGCAGCCCAAAACGGGAGGUAAAUUUCUUCUAAGGCUAAAUAUUGGCGAGAGACCGAUAGCGAACAAGUACCGUGAGGGAAAGAUGAAAAGAACUUUGAAAAGAGAGUUAAAUAGUACGUGAAAUUGUCAAAAGGGAAGCGUUUAACACCAGUGUUGUUUUCUGAAAAUCAACCUCUGUUAGCUUUAUGCAUGUUUGUUUAGACCUAAUCAGCUAUCUUGCAUGUUCUAUUGUUUGCAGUGGUGCACUUUUCAGUUUACAGGUCAACAUCAGUUUUUUUUACCGUAAAAAAGUUAAAGAAAGGUAGCUCAUGGCUCCGGUCGUGAGUGUUAUAGUCUUUUUCCUAUGCGGUAGGAGAGACUGAGGUCUGCAGUGUAGGCUAUUUGGCUAGAUACUCAGGUGCUAUGUGAUACCAUUUCAUAAACAACUUGUUGAUUAUGUUUUGUCUAUUGCAUACUCGCUUGUACUAUCAUACCUACGCUUAGGAUGUUGAGUAGCGACAUACGCAC
rnacentral:rRNA from 1 species